rnacentral:rRNA from 1 species
UACGAGGGGGGCUAGUGUUGUUCGGAAUCACUGGGCGUAAAGGGAGCGUAGGCGGGCUCUUAAGUUAGGUGUUUAAUCCCGGGGCCCAACCCCGGACAGGCACCUAAAACUGGGAGUCUUGAAUAGUGGAGAGGUCAGUGGAAUUGACGGUGUAGCGGUGAAAUGCAUAGAUAUCGUCAAGAGCACCGAUUGCGAAGGCAGCUUACUAGACUGUAACUGACGCUGAGGCACGAAAGCGUGGGGAUCAAACAGG